GUUUCCUGCCACUACAGUAGGACCUGACCAUACCGAAUACUGUGCAUCAAACUAAUGGUUCAACAUUGUGGGAAAUAGGCUUUUGAGAGAAUGACAUGGGGUAUUUUUUUUAUCUUGUCAAAAGUAUCACUUUUUACAAUCUCAUUCAAUUCAGUUCAAUUCAAUUUUAUUUGUAUAGCGCCAAUUCAUAACAGAAGUUAUCUCAGGACACUUUUCAAAUAGAGCAGGUGUAGACCGAACUCAUUCAUCAUCCAACAUUCGUACCUCAUAAACAAAAACCAAAAGAUUCCAAAAUACAUAAAUCCAGAAAACAUUAAAGAACUCAGAAAAGCCUGAACAUAAAAAAUAUAUUCUCAAUUUUUUCCCUGUAACAAAACAUAAAUGAAUCCAAAUAAUUAAUCAGUGCUUAAGAUAACCCAAUAUAACAACCUUUAUCACAAAAACCCCCAAAUAUAAAAUGUAGAGAAUCCAUACACUUACAUCAACAUAAGAGUCUUACAUAUACAUUAUUUAAAAAUAUACAACAUUAAAACAUUAAGACAAUGUUCAUAUGUUAAAUUCUGAACUGAGUUGUUCCGAUCGAUAUGAAUCUAAUGUCUGUGUAUCCAUGACAGAUGCAGGGGAAAACAGCUAGUCUAGCUCUUGUCUAACGUCCAAAAUACUUCCACCCGCAUGUCUAAAUGUCAUUAAUUAACACGAUGUACAUGUUUGCUGACUGUAACUGCACAUGAACAGAAAUGUAACAAUAACAGUUAGUUUAAGUGUGAUAUUUCUCACCCAAAAUUUCCAUCUAUGUCCGAAAGACAAAGUUUGGCAUUUGUUGACUUAUUUCUUUUAAAUGUGGGUUUUGAUACUUGUUUUCAGGAAAUAGGAAGAUGCUAUGGGUACAAUGACAAAUCACCCAAAUUUGUUUAAAGGGGGCAUAUUAUGCAAAACCAACUUUUUAAUCAUUUGAUUAUGUACAUUUGGGAAUCUGGAGGGCCUAUCAGCAGGCAAAGUGUGAAAAAAUAGGACUCAGUCGUGUUUUUGUGGGCUGCCUCAAGUCCUAAUACACGAGAUAAAUCACUCAAUUUCAGAGGUCCAGACUUUUUGACGUCAUUUAGUCUGCAUGUUGCCACCCACCGCGGUUUACUUCCUGUGUUGACUAUCGGAGCUCCGCCAUUGUUACUAUAAAAGCGCAAGCUAGCAGAGAACAAGCAAACGAGCCCAGCCUGCAGCCUGCAGCCCAAUGUCUGGGCAAAGGCUUCAGCAGGCAAACUGUUCAGUCAUUGGCUGCACAGCCCAACACUAAUUUAUAUAUGUAUGAACACAGUGGAUUUAUUUUGGUUUUUGACGGCAAUAUCCGGCGGGAAAACCGGAAGGUGUGUGAACCACUUUGUGUCGGACUGUUUUCACAACCUCGGUCAGUACAACACUGGACUGGCUGAAAGACUGUUCCUGAAAGAGGGAUUGUACCAACUGUCUGUGGAGAGACGGCAGAGGAAGUCACUGUGGAUUGUACCAACUGUCUGUGGAGAGACGGCAGAGGAAGUCACUGUGAGCUGAUGAAGCUCAGGUGUUCCUGGACCCAUCAGAGGACAGAGACAGCUGCAGCAUCAGGACAGCCUGAAGGACGCGAUCUGCAAAGUUUACAUAGAAGUUCUAGCUUUGUUACUUACAACAUGUGUAACUGGAAUAUGAAUGAAACAUAAAUAAAGUGUUUUAUUUUUAAGAA